AAGUCGUAACAAGGUUUCCGUAGGUGAACCUGCGGAAGGAUCAUUAAUAAAAUGAUGUUUUUUGGGGUUUUUUAACCUCAAAAAAUAAUUCACCUUUUGUGCACUGUUAUAAGAUAUACUUUGGUCAGAGCUUUGAUUUCAUUUUUUUGAAAUCAACUUCUCGCUAACUCUAUCCUUUCUGAGGACAGUUGGCUAUGAAGCGGCCUACCAAGGUUUUUUUAAACUCUUGUAUUUUGUCUGACCUAAAAACAAAUAAUUAAAUCAUAACUUUCAACAACGGAUCUCUUGGCUCUC
rnacentral:misc_RNA from 1 species